ensembl:lncRNA novel transcript
GCUAUUCUCUGGAGUCAGAUGGAUAAAGCUUCAGUUUCCCAGGUAACCAACCAUGGAUCUGAGCUGAGUGACCCAGUGCCGAUGUGAAGAAGAAUGUUGCCAAGACAACGGAAUCCAUACCCCUUUCCAGCACUGAGGCCUUCCUCCCUCUCACUACCUGCUUGGAUCUCAGGCUUUACCCCAUAAAGACAAAGAAACUGGCUGAGGAGACAAGAGAAAGAAAGUAGCAGAAGAUGGGAAGGAAACAGACGGAGUCUCACUUGUGUUGCCAAGAGAGCUUGAGCAUCAACUGGCAGUGAGGAUGGCAGGAAAGCAACUGACUUAUCCCCUCUCACCAGACCUUCCAACUGUCUGCAACACUGGCAUUGCCACGUAUCCCGGCACGUUGUUGAUCCCAUUGUGGCAUUGUGGUCAGAGAAUAUACAAAUCGCUGAAGAAUCCAUUGUUUAUGGACAUUCCUGGGAUAGUAUUCAUUUAAAUAUCUCUAUGUACACUGUAAUGGAAUAUAAUACAAAAAUGGAGUUGCACGCAAAAUGAGGGUACCACUCAGUAAAUGGUUCCACAGGGACGUCUGAUCCCCUACGAUCUGGGUUAAGAAAUGGUGUAGUGUAUUGCCGGCAGCUCAAAAGCACUCUCAUGCCAGUCACUCUUGUCUUCCACCUCAGCAAAUCUAACCACUCUUGUGACUUUUAACACUUGACGAUAAUCCUGCCUGUUUGUGAACGCAUUACACAUGAGUAGACUCAGUACAGUACGUAUUUUAUAAUCCGGGUUUCUCUUGGCAACAUUAGGUUUUUCUCCUUGCUAUUCACUUUUGUCGUGCUGUGUAGCUGAAUUUCGUUUCUUUGCAUUCCUGCGCAGUGUUUUGAAUUGUAUGACGAUGCCACAAUUUAUUCAUGCCUUUUAUUUCUAAUGGGCUCUUCAGUAGUUUCCAGCGCUGGAGUGUUAGUGUUAUUAUUGUGGUGCACGUUCACAAGGAUGUCCUUUGGUUAACAUGCGUAUGCAUUUAAGGCUGUGCUUGCAGGACUGCUUUGAUUACUUUUUCUUCCUUCAUGGCACUGUAAGUGGUGACAGUGGAUGUAUCUGGUUUUUUUUUCCCCCUGAUCUCAGAGGGAAAGCUGUCAACAUGUCACCCGUAAGUAUCGUUGUUUUUGUAGGCUUUUAAAAUAUAUUCCAACGGAAUCAAGAGACUUCCCUUUUGUUCGUAGUUGGCUAAGAGGUUUUAUCAUAAGUGCAUGGUCAUUUAAAAAAAAUCAAACCCAUGAAAUACCCUUCCUGCGUCUGUAGGGAAUAUCAUAUUUUUUCUCCUUCAUACAUUACUUCUGAGAGAUAGAUUUUUCAAGCGCUGAACCGCUUCAUUUCUAGAAUACUCUUGACUUGUUUGUGAUACGUUUUCCUUUUUGGAGAUUUAACUGAUUUGUUUUGCUAAUGCUUUAUUCAAGAUUUCUUCUUCUGUGCUUAUGUAAAAGAUAGGCCUGUGCAUUUCAUUUCUUACCAUGCCCUUUAAGGUUUUUCCCUCAUAAAACGGGAUGGGAAGCAUUUCCCGUUUUUUAUGUUACUUGGCAAGAAGGUAAGAUUGAUAUUCCUUCCUUCACAAACGUUUUGUAGAAUUAAUCGGUGGCAGCAUCAGAGUCCGUAGGUUCUUGUGGCUGUUGCUGUUGUUUCCUUCAGAUUCCGCCCGUUUAGAAUUUGUAGGACAAUUCAGAUGUUUAGUCUGUUUUCUGUCAUUUUGUUGUAUUUUCUUGAAAUGUGUAAAUUAUAUCCAAAGUUUCACGUUUGUGGGCAUAAAGUUGCUCAUGGUUUUGAAUAAUGAUCUCUUUAAUGCCUUCAUUGCCCAUAGUGAUGUCUCCUUAGCCACUCCAGACACGGGUUGCUUCAUGAUUUCUCUCCUUUUUGUUCAGGCCUACACAAGGCAUGUCUUAAUCACAUCAUCUUUUCAAAAAACCACCUCUGGCUGUGUUGUUUUAUCUUUAACUGAUUUGUACUUUUAUCGUUAUUUCAUUUCUUCUGCUUUCUUCAGGUUUAAUCUGUUGUUCAACAUGGUUAAGAAAGAUGCAAAUGUUGUGCCUUUCUUUUUCAUGCAAUCUAGACAAUUAAAAUAUAUCCCAUAAGAUUUCAUCAGGUUCAAAAUACUUUGCGAUUUCAUUGGUGAUGUUUUCCUUGAGCUAUGGGUUAUUUAGAAAAUAGGA